GAUGAACGCUGGCGGCGUGCCUAAUACAUGCAAGUCGAGCGAACAGACGAGGAGCUUGCUCCUCUGACGUUAGCGGCGGACGGGUGAGUAACACGUGGAUAACCUACCUAUAAGACUGGGAUAACUUCGGGAAACCGGAGCUAAUACCGGAUAAUAUAUUGAACCGCAUGGUUCAAUAGUGAAAGACGGUUUUGCUGUCACUUAUAGAUGGAUCCGCGCCGCAUUAGCUAGUUGGUAAGGUAACGGCUUACCAAGGCAACGAUGCGUAGCCGACCUGAGAGGGUGAUCGGCCACACUGGAACUGAGACACGGUCCAGGCUCCUACGGGAGGCAGCAGUAGGUAAGCUUGCGCAAUGGGCGAAAGCCUGACGGAGCAACGCAGCGUGGGUGAUGAAGGGCUUCGGAUCGUAAAACUCUGUUAUUAGGGAAGAACAAAUGUGUAAGUAACUAUGCACGUCUUGACGGUACCGAAUCAGAAAGCCACGGCUAACUACGU
rnacentral:rRNA from 1 species